GGCAAGCGUUGUCCGGAUUUAUUGGGCGUAAAGCGAGCGCAGGCGGAAUGAUAAGUCUGAUGUGAAAGCCCACGGCUCAACCGUGGAACUGCAUCGGAAACUGUCAUUCUUGAGUGCAGAAGAGGAGAGUGGAACUCCAUGUGUAGCGGUGGAAUGCGUAGAUAUAUGGAAGAACACCAGUGGCGAAGGCGGCUCUCUGGUCUGCAACUGACGCUGAGGCUCGAAAGCAUGGGUAGCGAACAGGAUUAGAUACCCUGGUAGUCCAUGCCGUAAACGAUGAGCGCUAGGUGUUGGGGACUUUCCGGUCCUCAGUGCCGCAGCAAACGCAUUAAGCGCUCCGCCUGGGGAGUACGACCGCAAGGUUG
rnacentral:rRNA from 1 species